ensembl:lncRNA
CAACACCACUGUAAAACUUUGCCUCGACCCCACUGCAUGGUUAUGGGGCUGUAAAGCUGCAGGAAUGCCAAGAUCGUGGCUGGUCAAGGACAGGGAGGGAAGGAGAAGGUGGGGAGGAGGAACAAAAAGCUGAGGCGAGAGCCUGGAGAAGGGGGACCUGCUGUCUGGCUGAACUUCACUGGGCAAGAGGCAGCCCUGGACCUGCACCCAGACCUGGGCCUGCACACCACAGGAGCAUACAAUGGUGCUGUGCAUGUCUUGUCCUGGCAUCAGAGGUGCGACGGCUUUUCCCACACCCAGGACCAUCCCCAGUGCUCUGAGCUACAUCUACAUUCAAGGAGAGGUGUUACCUGGACAGCUGGAAGGACACUGAUGAGGCACUGGCACAGACUGCCCAGAGAGAUGCCCCAUCCCUGAGAAGGUCAGGCUGGAUGGGGCUCUGAGCACCUGAUAGAGCUGUAAGUGUCCCGGUUCGUUGGAGAGGAGUUGGACCAGAUGGCCUUUAGGGGUUCUUUCCAACUCAAAUGGUUUUAUGAUUCUACGAUGACAUUGUCUUGUGCCACAUCUGGCACCUUCCCAAGAGUUCUUGGCUCUUGAAUUGCAGAGCUGGGAGUUUCCAGGAGGAGGAACACUGCAAACCCCCUGCAAUGAAACCACUCAAUCAAAACCAGCACCGCAAGAUCAACAUUUUGGGAACUGUUAGUCCCUCUGAGUUUAGAGCACGCCAAUGGCAGAUAACUCACAUCUGCUUCUGAAAGCAGGAGAUUAGCCUAAUUUAGCAUGAGCUCAGAUAUCAGCAACAAAAUCUAAUUACGAGGACAUGUCAGGCUCAUUGAUCACUUGAAAUGGCAACGCAAAAAGUUGGGCCAAUUGCAUAAUGACUGCAGAGUGCUUCCACCCUGUGCUGUUUUGCUAGGGGAAUUUGCUUCCCCAAUUAUCUUGUAUUGAUGGGAGCCCAGUGCCGUGCUGAUGAUGGCACGUACCUUGUUUUAUAUUAAAAAUACGUUUUGUGCUUGCUGGAAAUUACAAAAAGCAAUUCCAGAAAUACUGGAUGGAAAUGCAUUAGAUCCCAAGGGUUUCUGACAGGUAAUGGGAUGUCUGCAGCAGUUCCUGUAGGACUGAGUCCAGCGUCCCCAUGGAUGAUGUGGAGCUGCUUGCCCUCACGGCAUCAGCACUUGAGCCCCACUGCUAAAGUGUUCAUCACAGCUGACAUUAAGUGACAGCAAUUGUUUCCUGGUGGCUUUUUGCUCCCCCAGGCCAGGAAGGCUCUUACUGCCUUGUUCUGUGCAGUGCCUGUGCAUAAGGAGCAGUGCCUUCCAAGGGACGCCUGUCGGAGUGCAAAAAGAGGGAAAGCAGAAAGGAAAACAUUUUAAAAGAUAAAAUAAAGCUUAGUCAGUCAGGUACUGGUACGGAGUCAAGAUGCAUUUUGGAUGAGGGGCUGUUUUAUAGAUGGGCUGAUGUCUGCUCAGACAAGCGUGGAGCGUGAGGGAGUCAAUGAGGAUGGAGCAGCGCAGUAAUGGAUUUUCCUGUGUAUCACCACUGCUCCCGCAACGUCCAGCGAAGCAAAUGAUUGCGUCUGCAGCAUCAAUCAUUUAGCAUCGUUAGACAAGAAGCUCUGCCACAAGAUGAGCAUCUCAUGCUUGGAAAGCAAUUGGCUCGGCUUUACCUCAGCGCUGCUGCAGCAGGGGACCUGUUAUCCCUGGUGGCAGGGUUCCUGUUUGGGGAGCCCAGGUCAUGAGCCCUCCUUACUGCUCAGAUUAUUCACAGCCCUGAAAUAAUACCUGCCUGUGACCAGGCAGCCACCAUCCAUAAGGCACGGUCAGAAGCAUGAGCUAUUAUCCAGCCGCUGGCUCUUCUCAGGAAGCUCAUUUCCAUGCAGAAUUGCACCUUGUGCAAUAUAUCUGCGGGAGCGAUAGCUGAAUGCCUCCGCUUCAGGGAACAGGACCAAAAAAGUGAGUGAGAACUAUUGAUCUGGUUUUAAGGAGAGCUGUAUCUAUUAAUCUGGGAACACUAAUCACUGGGGGCUGACAGGAACAUGAGGUUUCCAGUGCCAUGCUGACACUCCUCAGCCUCUUGGGUGAAGCCUGAGGAUGACAAGCUGCUUUCCUGGAGCUGGGCAGGAAAGCCCAGCAGGAGGGCCCUGACAGCUUCUUAGAUGGGAAGGGUAAUACCAAAGAGAUGGUCCUGGGGAGCCCUGAGGACAUUUGUCAUCUUGCAGUUAUCCCCACAAGCCUGAGCUGGACGUGGCAUUACAACAAAGGUGGCUGUCUGCCUCCUGGGAAGGGGGCAGGGGUGGUUAUUGCGUUAUUAUUUUCUUCUUUCAGUAUACCAACUAUGACAUAAUAAAGCUGAGAGCUGACUAAGAUAGGAAGCUUCUAAGGGAUGAAAAAGGCUGCAAAGAAACUCCUUGCCAGGUGAAUUUAAUUCUUGAUUUUUCAGGGCUGAGGUGUUCAGUGGCUGUGCUGCUGCCCUCUGAAUAGCAGCUCUCCCCUUGAGAACAUCAGCUGCUCCCCUGCAGUGGUUUGAUACCAUUUGCAAACUUUGGGCAAGCUCUCCUCCAGGUCAUUCCCUCCGCCAUGUUGUUUAUUACACGCAAGCCAGCACUGAGCAUUUUUACUUCGUGACUGUGCCAGCCAGAUGGGGCAGAGCACUCACAUCCUGAGCUGGAUGGGCAGAAUCAUUUCCACACAUUUGCAAGGUCAUUCAGGUGAACUCGGGUACCCUCCUCAAGGUAUUGAUGUGUUUCUAAGCCUUAAGGAGUCCUUUUUCCAAGAUGAGAUGUACAUUCAUCAUGCAUUUUUCAUAAAACCUAUCUAUAUUCAUUAAUUGGUUGUUAUGCUCCAGUUGAUGAAGAAUAGACCUCAAGGGUUUUGGCAAGGACUCUUUAGCUUUAAUGUCUUUAGUUCCUCCCUUUGCUCGGCAAUGGCUGGGAGAGGAGAACAGGGAGUAGCACGAAAGCUUUGCCUGUAGUUACCUCUCAAUAUCCUUCCUCUAUCUAAUAACAUCCUUCCUUGGAGAGCUAAGACGUGAUGGUCCAUAAGAAGCCAGCCCUCACCUCUCACCAGGGAAGUGGCCCCUGUCAUACUGGGGCUGAUAAAUAUGACAAAUGACAUCGUAUUUAUUUUACAACAAAGAGAGUGCUUCAGCUAUCUAGAGAUCAAAGCAUAUUAGCAUGUGGAUAAAAACUCCAGUGUUUGUGUAAUCCCUAAAUAGAUUUCUUUGGCUAGUAGCUGCAAGCUGCUACUCCCACCCGGCUCAUCAUCCUAAUGGGUAGGUGUCACGUCAAGGAGGAAGAGCUGUGAUUUAGCUGGUAGGUUAAUGAGAAAGUAGGAGGUGUAACUGGUUGCAUUUUUGGAUUUUUUUUUCUGCCCUACUCUGGACAAAAACCUCAUUACCUUGUGCACAAACCUGCUUAAUUCUGUGCAGCUUCUUCUUGCUUCAUGCUCCCAUCAGAGGACUGCUGUGUGCCGUGGUUGCCCCAGGGAGCUGAAGAUUUGCAGCCACCCAUGUGCUCCCAGCCAUCGAGGAGCAGUGAGAUCAGGGCUGCUCUCACAAGAAGGUGAAGCCAAGGUGGGACCUAUACCCUCAGCAUCCAACCAAGAUGGACACAACCUAGAGUCCAGGUCAUAUGGCAACACCAUGGUGAUGAUGGAGGUCCAAGGCAAAGCUGGGAACUCAUCCUGCAGGCUGAGGUCCACAUCAAGGAGCCCCAUGGCUAGGCAUAGGCUGAAGCCCAGCACUCCUGCAGUUCACAGUCUGGGAAACAUGCACAGAUAUGCUACCUUAUUAUUACUAAUGUUUAUUAAUUAAAGAUAGAGUGUACAGACAGCUUCUGCAAGUACCAUUCAUUCCCAUAAGACCUUUCGGGGUGACAGAGGUAUUCACCUCUGACCACCCUAUGCCUCCUCAUCCUUUGGGUACUGCUGUGGAACUUAGCCCAGUCUCCGUGUAGGAUGGAGCAGAGCGUGAGCGAUGCUGGAUAACUCCUGCCCUCCCAUCUUCUCCGGCAGCUCAGGGAUGUUGGCACCUGCCUUUGGCCACCACUGAGAGCCAUUUGUCUUGUGCUUCUGCAAGCGUGAAAUGCAAGGUGACAGCUUGACGUGCAGCAGCAGGAGGGAACGGCCCCCUCCUCCCCCCGUGCACGUCUUCUCUUCCAGGAGCCCUCAAGAAGCCAUCCUGGCAGUGCCUCCAGUCCUUCUGCUCAUGCCUCAUUUCCAACUCAUUCAUGCAGCCUGCCCACCAGACCCUUACCUAUCUGUAUGUCCCCAUAGGGGGAUCUGUGCUUACAGGGUCUGCUGCACACCAUGACUUUGGUCUCCAAAAUCAACAUUACAGCUGGGCUGAAGGCUCUGAGCUCCCCAUCCCAGGACCAGAGCAGCCCUGCCCAAACCAUUCCUAAUGCCGCAUCUGUCCAACUUGCUUUUAAAAUAUCCCACAGUCUCCUCCAGGUCUUGGGUUUAUGUGCCAGCCUGGUGGGGAGCACAUCAUGAUGCUCUCUAUGACUGCUUUGCGGGGUCUUCCCAUCAGGCUUUGACCAGCCUGAACCGCUGACCAGCCAUAGCUCUCUUUCUUCAGGAUGAGAGGUAAUGGUCUUAAGUUGGACCAGGGGAGGUUCAGAUUAGAUGUUAGGAAAAAUUUCUUCUCCGAAAGAGUGGUCAGGCAGUGGCACAGGCUGCCCAGGGAAGUGACGGAGUCACCGUCACUGGAGGAGUUCAAGAAAUGUGGAGAUGUGGCACCGAGGGACAUGGUAUAGUGAUCAUGGUGGAGAUGGGUCAAUGAUCGGGCUAGAUGGCCUUAGAGGUCUUUUCCAACCUUAAUGAUUCUAUGAUUCUGUGAUUCUAUGACUCUACGAUUCCUUCCUGCACAUGUUCGGAGGGAGUUGAACAUCUUCCCAGGGGACAGGACACCAAAGAAUGGGUCAGGCACAGCACAAAGUGUCUGAAGAGGAUGGUGCCCUUCUAUUGGCAUCUCUAGCACUCAAGUCCCAACAGCACAGUCCUCCCAUCAGGAUCAGAUCCAGCUGUGAGAUUUGGCCAGGACAAGCUGAAGACCAAGGGAUGCGGUUAGGUCUCCUUCAGUUCAGCCCUGCAGCCACUCAGCAGAGACAUGGCACUUCGUUUAAGAGGGAGCCAGGGCUGCAAAGCAUCGACCAUUUGGGUUUCUAUUUCCCAGCUGCUGGCGGCUCUGUGAAAAUGCACGGGGAGAAGGAAUAACAGGUCCUGAGCCCGGCACAUGUCCUGCAGCCUGGAAACACAGCCCUGAGAUCCCCAGCCCUUCUGCAAACCGUGGCCCUGCACUUUGCUGUUGUAUCAGACCACACUGCAGUGACCCUGGCCAGCACCACAGCCAGGAUUUCCUCAGCUGAGAGAGACCAGGGCAGACCUGACCGUGGUGCUUUACAGAUCCUACUGUUUUUCUGCUGCUGCGUAUGUUGGCUCUGAGAUGAGCUGUGCUGCUCUGUUAGAAUUUUUUCCCCGCUGCUCAAGUUGAUAGCUACAGUGAGGAGAUGUCUUCUCUGAUUUACACAUCCUCUUUAUGUGGGGUGGAGCUCGUGGUUAAAAAAAUCAUUUCUCACAGCGUUCUCUGCCUCAUUUUCCUUUGUCCCUGGUUGUGGUUGGCGUCUGAAAGGUCGGGGACAGAGACCUUCCCCUGCCCUGUGCUCAGCAGGGCUCCAUUGGUGCAAACCCACAAGUUCAACAACACUGUGCCCACGUCAUUUCCUGAGCACUGCCUUUUCCGGAGCUUUUGGUUUCAAAAGCAUUCCUCCGUGGUCAGAAGAAAUGCUAUGAAAACAUGCUUGUGCUUCCCAGUGCUUGGGUCGUGCUGCCCCAGCAUGCGAUGCGGGUCCUCUUGCUGUCCCCUGCACUACAGCCCCCAGCAGCUCCCAUCACCCGCUAAAGAGAUUUGCAGUGCUCUCUGCCAACGGCUCCCCAAGUGUGGGCUGCGAAGAUUAAUGGCUCUGCUGCUCGCCUGCUCUGUGCGAACAUCGCUGAAGGGCAUCUAUGGGCUGAGCUGAUAAAGAGAGCUUAAUGGGAUGGAGUCCCUCCGUGUGAGGCUUCCAGCUGGGCUGAAUGUUCCACGAUGUCCUUACUGAUCUCCUUUGGGUGAUGGGGCGCUGCUUCAGCCUGAUGCUUUCUCUGCUGCCCCGGGUGGUGCCACACAUCCAACCACUGCAUGGUCCCCAUCCCCUGUGUUCUCCAGGCCCCCCUCUUGCCCAGCUCCAUUCCCCACUGCCCAUUUGACAUCCGAGGCAUGCUGUGACCCCACCUGCCAGCACGACCCCUGCACCCUCCCGGUGUUGGUCACCCCAUACCAGCCUUCACUCUGACUGGGUCAUUCCUGCAGGAAAACCCACCUCUCUUCCCUUACAGAAAACCCUCUCUGCCUUCUCCCAGCUGCCCAAAGGUUUCUCCACAGCUCUAUCAGCCCCCAGCUCCAGUAUGUGGAGGCUUCUCCUGGUGCAGAGCUGUGAUCCUGAGAGUUUCUGUUCCAGCAUUUACCAGGCAGCUUCAGAGCUCAUUUUGCAAAAUGUUUUGGUAUCUCUUCUUUUAGUUGAUCAAAUAUCAAAAUACAUGUGCUUACAUGGUUUGUAUGUUAGUAACGGAGAGGUCUUUCUAAGGCAUUUCAGGAAGAUUUUGAGGCCUUAUGAACUCAUCGCUUCCCAGGUGAGCUUCUCCCCAGGGAGAGAGCAGAAAGCAUAAAUAGGAACUGAACCUUCCCUCAAAGUGGUAAUUGUGAUCUACUGACCCAAGAAGUAC